AGUUUUUAGGAUGCCAGCCAGCCAGCCUGCCUGCAGCUAGUGAAACCCAGAAACCCUCACAGUCCUUGAAACACUGAAUCACAGCAAGUUAAACAGUGAUGGCAGCGCCCUCUGCAGGACCAAAGGAGAAACUUCUCGUCCCUUGCACUGGGAUCCCCAUGGCAGCUGCUGUACAGCUUUACUGCAGACGGACCCGAGAAGCCUUUUAAAGGCCGAAACCGCCAGGCACGCGCGUCUCACACCCCCGACACCCUCCCAGCACUUUGCCACCCGGUACCAUACAGAAGAAGAUCUGCAGACAAAGUUUUGGAACAGCUUAUGACUGAAUGAUGAAACAGAACGGGAUUAUGGGGUUUGCCUCACCAGGAUGCCCCCCGAAGCCAGCGUCACCCCCUGCAUCACACAGGCCAAAUCCCCAGCGACCAACCCUUGACCCUGAACCUCCUGCCCUGCCUUCCCUGCCAGCCCCGGGACCCUUCGUCUCCCCUUCCCUGUGUCUCCGUGUCCCCUGCCUGCCCGUAGGACUGACCACCCCGGCUUCUGACCUUCUCUUCCGACUACGACUACUCUCUUCGUCUUGUCCCUUGAAAGCCCUUAGCCUAGCUGAUCCAAUAAAAAUCAAUUGGUUCUGCACUUCUGGGUCCGUGCUUCCCUGCCAGAGCUCACCUGACAGUUGCCCACCUUAAGACUUGUUUGCAGGAAGAAUGGGACAAAAUUACAACUGAAACAAUUCAUCACUUGGUGUCUUCAGUCCCUAAAUGUCUUUUAAGUGUUGUGAAAAGGAAUGGCAACGUUACAAAGUGGUAAAUGCUUUACAGUUCCAACUUUUUUUGAAGUGUUGCAAGAACCAAAAUUGGAAUACGUGUUUAUUUUGAGAAAAACAAUAAAAUUCAUGAGGAACACAUUAUAUAA